rnacentral:ncRNA from 1 species
UUAAAGUUUGAUUCUUGCUUUAAAAUUAACUUUUUAAAAAAUUUACAUGUUAUUUUAUUAAGUUUUUAUUAUUUUUGUAAUAUUAAUAUUAUGUCGCAGUAAUUAAUUUUAAACUACUAAAUUUUAGGUUUAUUUAUUUAUUAAAAAUUGAAUAAGUUUGUGCCAGCAUUCGCGGUUAUACUCUAUAUUUGAGUUAAUUUUUUUUGAAUAUUAAUUUUUAAUUUUUUAUUUAUUUAAAUAAUAGAUUUUAUGGGGGUAAAAUCUUUAUUUUUAUAUUUAAAAUAUUUUAUUAUUAUUUAUUUAGACAAAAUUAACCUGGAUUAGAUACCCAGUUUAGCUAAAUAAUUUUUUAAUCAUAGUAGUAAAAUUUAAAACUUAAAGAAUUUGGCGGUAAAUUAUUCUUUAUAGAGGAACCUGUUUCGUAAUUGAUAGUCCACAAUUUUUCUACUUUAAUUAUAUUUAUAUACCGUUGUUUAAAAAAUUAAUUUAGAAAUUAAUUUAUUUAAUUUUUAUAAAAAUAAAUCAAAUCAAGGUUUAGUUAUUUUAAAGUGAAAAUGGGUUACAUUAAUUUAAAAUUUUCGGAAUUAUAUAUUAUAUAAAAAUGAAGUUGGAUUUAUAAGUAAAAUCUUAAAUAUAUUUAUUUUGGAAUAGUUCUAAUUUAUGUACACAUCGCCCGUCAUUCUCGUUAUAAGAUGAGACAAGUCGUAACAAAGUAGAUUUUGCCGGAAGGGAUGUCUUGAUAAAU